UUAUGGCUAUAUCACAUUGAAACACCAGUUCUCAUACAAUCACAAGUUAAGCAACAUUGAGCCUAGUCAGCACCUAGCUGGGGGGACCACCUGGGAAUACCAGGUGCUGUAAG